rnacentral:lncRNA from 1 species
AUGCCACGUCCCAUUGAGAAUUCAUGCACCAAAGAUUUCUACCAUUAGUCCCCUUGGGGCAGAAGUAUUAAUGAGCAGGGAGGGCUUUUGUGUCAGCCAAUCAUAAGCGUUGUCAAUUGCUACGCUGCUUGUUUUCAAGGACUUCCUGAAUUGGUAUUCUUUUUCUGUUCUUGUUAUUAACUUCAUCACAUUUCAAAUAUGCCACCUGCCGUUGUUUUCAUGUGUUUCACUGCGUUUUCAUGGGUGCUCCUGAGUUGUCCAGGUUAUGACUGUUCUGUGCCAAUCAUGACUGAAAGGGAAUGUCUGACUCACAAAGUAUGGGGUUUUUGCACUGACGAGGAAUGUGAUAUGACCAACGAAGGGCAUUCACUGCUAGGUUACUGCAAGGGAGGAAAAAACUGCUGUGCCAAAUGAAAUGAGAUGUCAAGUCGGAAACUGGAGAGAGCAGCUUUCCUCAGUUCGAGAAUAAUGAUGGUUUUCUCAAGAAUCACCAUCACUUGGGCAGCAGAAAAG